AACGUAGGACACAAGCGUUGUCCAGAGUUACUGGGCGUAAAGCGCGCGCAGGCGGCGGUGUUGGCCCGGCGUGAAAGCCCCCGGCUCAACCGGGGAGAGUCGUCGGGGACCGCACCGCUUGAGGGCGGUAGGGGCUGGUGGAAUGCCUGGUGUAGUGGUGAAAUGCGUAGAGAUCAGGCAGAACACCUGGGGCGAAGGCGGCCAGCUGGGCCGUCCCUGACGCUGAGGCGCGAAGGCGUGGGGAGCGAACGGG
rnacentral:rRNA from 1 species